UAUCCGAUCCUUCCGAUUUGGUCCGGUAUAUUAACAUAGCUACCUAUUAGGUGCCGUUUGAUAUCCCGUGAUCUUUAGCAUUAUCUGGUUAUUAUACAAGGACUCCAAAGCAAUCUCAGGAGAUGAUGCAUAGGACUUAUCAAGAUAUACUUAGGCGGACCUGUGCCUUAGUGACUUAAAACGAGACAAGAACUAGUUAUUUUAUGUUAUGUACUAUUUGGUUCUUGUUUAAACAAUGUAAACUCUCAUGUUUGAUCAAUAAAACGGAUCUUCAGUUGCCAUGGAUUUGAAACAAUUAAUUCUGUUACAACACUCCCCGACAUUUCCGCCACGUUUGGUAUGUUCUAUGUGGUCGGGGUGUGACAAAUAAAACAUGCAGUUAUUUUAGAAAACAUAACUUUUGAUUUAUUUCAAAUACUUGUUUUGUUCAUUUUUACUUAUGGUUUAAGUAGUCUCAUUUUUACUUACCAUACAUAACUUUUAUUUACACAUUUCAUGACUUACACUUAACUUGGGUUAUACUAUGACUUUUGACUAUUGGUUUAGACAUGAACAUUAUACAUCGGUGGUUUGUUUGGGUGACUUGAAUAACGAGACGCGUGUAAUAUGAUACAAGCAUGGUAGAUACGCCGCUGGUACUUCCUAUAUAUAAGUGCUUGUAUGAUAUUACAUAUCGUAGCAUUAUUUAAGCCAUUCAGUUUAGACUUGUUACUUUUACAACACAUUUUCGCUUAAACAUCGAUUUACAAAUAACUUGGUUUAUACAAACUCUUUUACUUGGUUACUCUUUUAACCAUACGUUAUUCUUUUACAAAUACUUAUCAUCUGAUUUUGCUAUCGUUUUUCAAAUGAUUUAUAAAAGAAAAUACUUAACAAGGUUCAUGACUGAUUUUUAUUAAACAUUUUCUUUAAACUCAAGUCAUGAAUCCUAUUUUCACAAAACCUAUGUAUCUCACAGGCAUUUUUAUGCUGACGUACCUAUUUUCACAUGUGUUUUCAGGUGCUGUUGCAUAGGAGGAUCAUGACAUACUAGGGAGGACCUGUGCCUUAGAGACUUAAAAUGAAGAUAGACUUAGUUUAAUAUCGUGAUGUACUUUUGUUUCUUUUAUUUUAAGUCAAUGUGACUUGUUGGUUCUUGUUUUGAAACAAUGUAUUGCACCCUUGGGUGAUGAAUAAAAUAUUAUU
rnacentral:lncRNA from 1 species